rnacentral:rRNA from 1 species
GAUGAACGCUGGCGGCGUGCCUAAUACAUGCAAGUCGAGCGAACAGACGAGGAGCUUGCUCCUCUGACGUUAGCGGCGGACGGGUGAGUAACACGUGGAUAACCUACCUAUAAGACUGGGAUAACUUCGGGAAACCGGAGCUAAUACCGGAUAAUAUAUUGAACCGCAUGGUUCAAUAGUGAAAGACGGUUUUGCUGUCACUUAUAGAUGGAUCCGCGCCGCAUUAGCUAGUUGGUAAGGUAACGGCUUACCAAGUCAACGAUGCGUAGCCGACCUGAGAGGGUGAUCGGCCACACUGGAACUGAGACACGGUCCAGACUCCUACGGGAGGCAGCAGUAGGGAAUCUUCCGCAAAGGGCGAAAGCCUGACGGAGCAACGCCGCGUGAGUGAUGAAGGUCUUCGGAUCGUAAAACUCUGUUAUUAGGGAAGAACAAAUGUGUAAGUAACUAUGCACGUCUUGACGGUACCUAAUCAGAAAGCCACGGCUAACUACGUG